rnacentral:rRNA from 1 species
GGUGUGCGCAGCUUACCAUGCAGUCGAGCGGUAACAGAGAGUAGCUUGCUACUUUGCUGACGAGCGGCGGACGGGUGAGUAAUGCUUGGGAAUAUGCCUUAUGGUGGGGGACAACAGUUGGAAACGACUGCUAAUACCGCAUAACGUCUACGGACCAAAGGGGGGGAUCUUCGGACCUCUCGCCAUUUGAUUAGCCCAAGUGAGAUUAGCUAGUUGGUAAGGUAAAGGCUUACCAAGGCGACGAUCUCUAGCUGGUUUGAGAGGAUGAUCAGCCACACUGGGACUGAGACACGGCCCAGACUCCUACGGGAGGCAGCAGUGGGGAAUAUUGCACAAUGGGCGAAAGCCUGAUGCAGCCAUGCCGCGUGUGUGAAGAAGGCCUUCGGGUUGUAAAGCACUUUCAGUUGUGAGGAAAGGGGUGUAGUUAAUAGCUGCAUCCUGUGACGUUAGCAACAGAAGAAGCACCGGCUAACUUCGUGCCAGCAGCCGCGGUAAC